rnacentral:sRNA from 1 species
UAUGACAAGGCAGUACUGAGUUCAAUGUAAAGUUACCCAGUCACUCUGCUUUCCCUCUCUCCCAAGAGUACGAAAUUUCCGAAAUGGUAGGCUACUGUGCUGCGAGGAGUGAGGGGUUGCUACCAUCAUUUCAUACCAUCUCUCCAACCCUCUUCAAUGCCUCAUCCAAUGAUAUGAAGUUAAAACCAGAGCUAUUUCUGACACAGCAAUUUUUGAGCGGGCAUUUGCCAAAAUACGAACAAGUUCACAUCCUCCCAGUAGGAAGAAUAGAGGAACGCUUCUGGCAAAAUUUCAAGCAUCUACAAGAGGAGGUUUUCCAGAAAAUAAAGACACUGGCUCAGCUCUCAAAGGAUGUUCAGAAUGUCGUGUUCUAUAGUAUCCUGGCCAUGCUCAGAGACAGAGGGGCUCUACAGGACCUGAUGAACAUGCUGGAAUUGGACAGCUCAGGUCAUUUGGAUGGCCCUGGUGGUGCCAUCCUAAAGAAACUUCAACAGGAUUCAAACCAUGCAUGGUUUAACCCAAAGGACCCCAUUCUUUAUCUCCUUGAAGCCAUAAUGGUGCUGAGUGACUUCCAACACGAUUUGCUGGCCUGUUCCGUGGAGAAGAGGAUCCUGCUUCAGCAACAGGAGCUGGUAAGGAGCAUCCUGGAGCCAAACUUCAGAUACCCCUGGAGCAUUCCCUUCACCCUCAAACCUGAGCUCCUCGCCCCACUCCAGAGUGAGGGUUUGGCCAUCACCUAUGGCCUGCUGGAGGAGUGUGGCCUUAGGAUGGAGCUGGAUAACCCCAGGUCAACCUGGGAUGUAGAAGCAAAGAUGCCCCUGUCUGCCCUCUAUGGGACUCUCUCGUUGCUGCAGCAGCUGGCUGAGGCCUAAGCCCUCCCUGAUGGGCAGUCAGUCCAGAGAUGCUGGCCCUCUCCCAGUCUAUGCUGUGAGUGUCCUUAUGGGUGCAAGAGAUAGGGCUGCGCCUUUCUGCGUUUCCAGGUGGAGUAGAGGCAGUAAUGGGUAGAGAUUUCAGGAAAUGUUUUGGGGUGGUGGAAUACUCUAUAUAUUGACAAGAGUAUAUAUUGACGAGAGUUUAUAUAUUUGUCAAAACUCUUCAAAUAGUAUGUUAAAGAUGUAAGCGUUUCACUAUGUAUAAAUUUUACUUCAAAAUAAUAAAAACAAAUACUCACUCUA